ACACGCAUGACACACUGCAUAUCAAUAAGCGGAGGAAAAGAAACUAACAAGGAUUCCCUUAGUAACGGCGAGUGAAGCGGGAAGAGCUCAAAUUUGAAAUCUUCAAGGUUCUACCUUGACGAAUUGUAGUUUAUAGAAGUGUUUUCUGUUAGUAGAGUGGCAAAAGUUCUUUGGAAUAGGACAUCAUAGAGGGUGAGAAUCCCGUAUUUGGUCAUUCCUUCCUAGCGUUGUGAUACACUUUCAACGAGUCGGAUUGUUUGGGAAUGCAGUCCAAAAUGGGUGGUAAAUUUCAUCUAAAGCUAAAUAUUGGCGAGAGACCGAUAGCGAACAAGUACCGUGAGGGAAAGAUGAAAAGAACUUUGAAAAGAGAGUUAAACAGUACGUGAAAUUGUCAAAAGGGAAGCGUUUGACACCAGUGUUGUUUUUCCGAAAAUCAAUUACGAAUGUUUUGUUUUUGAGGAAGUUAUGACUUCAUCGGCUUGCUCCUUCUUUAUGAAACUUUCUUAAUGCACUUUUCGGUUAACAAGUCAACAUCAAUUUCUUUUGUUGUAAAAGGGUAUGAGGAAGGUGGCUUUCUUUUCGGAGAAAGUGUUUAUAGCCUUGUGCCUCUGCAAUCGGAGAGAUUGAGGUCUGCAGCGUAGAUCCUUCGGGGUUAGAUACGUUUGUGCUAAGUUAUAGCUUUUCAUAGACAGCUUGUUGACUAUGUUUAGUCCUGUAGCAUUACUCGCUUACGCUAUUUUACCUACGCUUAGGAUGUUGACGAGACUGUCGAUCUC
rnacentral:rRNA from 1 species